AUUUUCUCAUUCCUCGGCCCCACCAACUUCGGGUACAUCAAAGCCCUGGUGACAACGUUCUACCCGACAAUUGACUUGCAAAACUACACGCUAUCCGGCUUCUCUGACGUCACAAACAUUCUUUGCUCAACUGCGACGGGAAUCAUCGCAGCUCACGCGUAUUUUCCGCCGCUGGUGGCGAUUAUUUGGAGACGGAAUCGGCACCGCCAUCACCGAAUAUUUGAUCUUCCCGCUGAACACAUUCUCGGCGGUAGUUGACCCGAUUUGCAUGCUUCACUUCAUCAAGCCUUAUCAGCGAAAGGCCAAGCAGCUUAUUUCGAAUUUACUUGGCCUAAAUAUUGCUCAAAAUUCUAGCACAAUUGCAACAGUGUCUUCUCAGCUAUAA
rnacentral:misc_RNA from 1 species